UGUGUUCUUCAGGGUUUCUGAUAUCGUCUAAUCGCGUCCCAAAAUGACGCUUUAUAGUUGCUUAUGGAUCUUUAUUGAUCGAAUUUGUACAUGCUGGUUGUAUUUGUGUCAGUAUAGCCGAUUCUCUUUUAUUCCUGUAUCUCGCGACGAUCUGAAUUUGUUCGAUUGGGGACUUUUGCGGUGGAAGAUCGAUCUUCGACACCUCUAUGGUUUCAAUUUUGUUCAAAAUUAGAUGACUGUGCUAUUGAUCGAUUGUAUGUUUUUUUUUUGGAUCGUACGAAUUCUUGGUUGGGUUGAUCUUAGCAUCGUUAGGAUUCGGAGAAGUCCCUUCUUGAUCGCGAACUUAUUGUGAGAAUUAGGGAAAAUAAAGUUAGUUGUAGUUUAAUUAUACGAUAAAAGGUAGCCCCUUAAGACCUUUCUUAAGUCGAAAUUUUCGUGUAUCUUGUUGAAACGAAAGUUGAAAAUUGAACCUCGUUUCUUUUGUUUUUCUUAGUUCCUUAUCGGCAGGAACUGUAGUUACUUUAGUGCAAAAUAAAGGGAUUUUAAGAGGCCAAACCGGUGGACGUGUGGUAGGUUUUGAUUGAAGACAAUGAUAAGGUUUAUCCUUACAAAUGGGAACUGAUGUUAUGGAUUGAUAUUAUGCUAGUUUGAUAUUUUGUUGGGGAACUUAAUUAAAUUAUAGAUAAGAAUUGAAAGUUCUUCCAGUGACCGCAGAACCCUGCAUUGAAUUAAUGCAUGUCUAAGAUGUUGGACGCCUAGCUUUUAAAUUCUCUCACUUUUCUUGUUAAUUUGUGCAAAUCUUGUUCGAGGUUUUUUAGAAGUGCAUAUGAAUAUUGAGAAUUAGAAAAGAUUAUAUUUAUGCAGCAAUUUUUUAAAUUUCAUUGUGUGGAGUCAUUGUUACUUUGCUUUUUGAAGACAUGUUGUUCUGUUCUAUGUUGUUCUCACUAAUUACUACCCUAGAUGAUCUUUCAGCUUGCUGACUGGCAUAUAACACGAUUCCCGAUUGCAUGAGCUCCUUUAGGAAAUACAUAAAAAAUUAGUGCAGCUUUAGCAGCAUAUUCACAAGUUCAUAUUCUGUGGAAAUGGAGCAAUCUUGCAACAUUCUGGUAAUUUGGAGAGGCAAGCAGUUCGAUGUAAAUGUCAACCCAGAUUCUAAUGUCAAGGAGUUUGGGCAGAAACUUCAGGAAUUGACUAAUGUCAGACCUGAUACUAUGAGACUUUUUGUUCCACAAAAGAAUAACAAAGGUUCAAAAAUGCUCAGCCCAUUUUCUGAUGUUCACUCGAUGUUAAGCUUGCGAGAAUCAGCAAUCCUUGAGGGAAAGACUAUCAAGAUGAUGGGUGUUUUUAGUGAUGAGGUCGAUGAGGUUUCUCAUAACAGUAAUAAACCUGACCUAAGGAUAGCUGGUUUUGCUGAAGAGGAACAGAGAUUGAGACAGAGAACGAUAUAUAGGCCUCAAGCUUCUCUGAAACUUCCACAAGGAACCUACAUUUUCUGUGAAUUUCGCACACUUCAGAUUCCAGGAAUUGAGUUGAACCCUCCACCAUCUGAGGCUCUGAGAAGAAUGCACAUGCUUGCCUGUGAUCCUGGGAUUAUUGCUAUCAUGAAUAAGCAUCGGUGGCGGGUUGGUAUUAUGAGUGAAAUGGCACCUGAGGGAUAUGUAGGAAUAAGUCCAAAAUGCAUUCUGGGAUUUAAUAAGAAUCAUGGGGAAGAGAUAUGUCUUCGAUUGCGUACAGAUGAUCUUCAAGGAUUUAGAAAAUAUGAAAGCAUCAAAAGAACACUUUUACAUGAACUUGCCCACAUGGUGUACUCCGAACAUGAUUCUAAUUUCUUUGCUUUAAACAAGCAGUUAAAUGAAGAAGCCGCUAGCCUAGACUGGACAAAAUCCACAAGUCACACAUUGAACGGUCGCAAAUACCUUGAUCAUUAUGAAGAGGAGGAUUAUGUCGAACUGAGUAGCAAGAAUAGUGGUCAAAAGCUUGGGGGUGCAACAAAUUCAUUAGUUUCUGCACGUGCAUCAUCGAUUGCUGCUGCCUAUAACCGAAUGGCAAAUGCUUCUAUCUACGACCACAUGCCUGUUAAAUCCAAGGAACCUGAUCCUGAUGAUAGCCAGCUGAUGGAUAAUCAGGGAAAAUUUUCUGAACCUGACCCAGAUGAUAUGGUGACUUCAGAGAAUGAUGCCAUGCUUGUGGAUAUGGUUAUGGAUGCCAGGAGACCAUUUUCGAAAUCAUCAAUGCUUGAUAUGCUUGAUGAGCUUGACCCUGAUGAUUCCUUGGACCAUAAGAACAUGUCUGAGUCUGACCCCGAAAAUUCCUUGGAUAAUAAGAACAUUUCUGAACCUGACCCUGAUGAUUCCUUGGAUAAUAAGGACAUUUCUGAACCUGACCCUGAUGAUUCCUUUAAUAAAAAGAACGAAUCUGAACCUGACCUCGAUGUUUGCUUGGAUAGUAAGAACAUGUCUGAACCUGAUCCUGAUGAUUCCCAUGCUAGACGAUUGAUAGUGUCUAGAAGUGAACCUGAUCCAGAUGAUACCUUAGGUGGUGAAGAUAUUAAAUUAGCCAAGGAGACUGAUUCAACAGGUACCAGGUCAAACAAGGUAGACACAAGCAAUCCAAGAGAUUCUGAACCUGAUCCUGAUGAUUCUUUGAAUAAUGUACUCUUGGAUGCACAAAUGGAAGAAAUGCAUCUGGGAAAACACUGUAGAGAGCCUGAUCUGGAUGGCUUUGUUAAAGACAUGGUUUUGGGAGAUUAUGAGAGGUUGCAACAAAGUGCUGAAGGGCCACUGGCGACUGAAAAUUCGAUGGCAGUUGACCAUGUCAAUGAUUUGGACAAUCAAGAGCUACAAAGAAUUGAAGAACCUGCUGCUCUUUUUUGUUCCCGUCUCCAGAGAGCCAUUGAUAUCCUACGAUCAGAAGCAACACCUUUACAGGCCACCUCAGUUCUUCAAACGCUUUUCAGGAUUAUCAGGAACGUAAUAGAACACCCAGAUGAGGUCAAGUUCAGAAGACUGAGAAAGGCCAAUCCCCAGUUCCAGAGGAAUGUGGCAAAUUAUAAAGCUGCAAUGGAGGUUCUCACUUUGGUCGGCUUCUGUGAGGAUGUCAUAUCUGAUGAGAUCGGCAGAGCCGAGACAUUCUUGGUGUUGAAAAGAAAUGAUCCUGGCUUGCUGUGGCUUGCAAAAUCUUCUCUCGAGCUGUCUAUAACUUAGUGCCAACUAUAACACAACUAUAUCAAAUGAUUUGUUUGUACUUAUCAUGUGUGCAAAUGAUUGGUAAAGGUGAUGUCCAACUACCAACAGCUACUAGGAGUUAACAAUGAUUCCAACCACAUACAAGGAAGACGUGUAAACAAAGGAUGAAGUGCUGGAUUCUAUGUUGAUCUAUAGGGGACUAUUGGCUGAUUAAUAAAAUGUGAAUAAAAAAGGUUAUGGUCCAGUUGUUCUUUAUUUAGGUCACCAGUAUAGUUUCUUUAAUUGGCCUAAUAAUUAUAGAAGUUAAUGGUCUGAUGUACCACGUGUGCCCUGUUUCAUGAACUCACUCAUGGAUCUACUAGAAACCUUGGUCAUGAAGUGGAAAAGUGGUAUUUCCACUUUUCCACUUCAUAUGAAUGUGACCACAAGUGAUGGUAAAUUUACAUUUCCGAAGUUUUGGCUAAUGUGCAAGAGUAGAAAGGAUCCAAAUGCAGAAUUCUCCUGCAACCUCUCUGAUGCAGCUUAGGGGAAGGAUGGUUAAAACCUGUUUUGUUCAGAAGUUGCAUCAGGGUUAAGCUCAUCAAUCAAUAAGGCAAAAAAAAGAGUUCAUCAAUGGAUAUACUGAUGAAACUUUGAGGUCAAGUUGAAUGUGGUUCCACUUUUCUGUUCUUUAUUUGUGAAAUCUGUUCAGCUGGGUGAUGAUUAUGCCGAAAAAUCUGACUAUGGCAAUACUUCAACAUCACUCGAAUUAAUGUAAUUUUGCAUGGUAUUCAGAAUGUGUUCAUCUACUUAUUAGUUUAGUUGUUUUGGC